GCAAACUUGGUCAUUUAGAGGAAGUAAAAGUCGUAACAAGGUCUCCGUUGGUGAACCAGCGGAGGGAUCAUUACAGGGUCUGACGACUGCCCAAACCAAACCGUGAACUAUUUUCAUACUCGAAUGCUUUGGCAGGCCGCUCGCUGGGGGAGCCCUGGACCGUCGCGAGGCGGUUGGCCUGCCGAAGGCAUGCAAAUUUAAAAUCAUUGAACAAUUUUCUGAUAAAUAUUAUCUCCUUCGGGAGCAAAAAUAUCACAACUCAUAACAAUGGAUCUCUUGGCUCUGGCAUCGAUGAAGAACGCAGC
rnacentral:misc_RNA from 1 species